GAUGAACCACUUCGGUGGGGAUUAGUGGCGAACGGGUGAGUAACACGUGGGCAAUCUGCCCUGCACUCUGGGACAAGCCCUGGAAACGGGGUCUAAUACCGGAUACUGAUCCGUCUGGGCAUCCAGACGGUUCGAAAGCUCCGGCGGUGCAGGAUGAGCCCGCGGCCUAUCAGCUUGUUGGUGAGGUAGUGGCUCACCAAGGCGACGACGGGUAGCCGGCCUGAGAGGGCGACCGGCCACACUGGGACUGAGACACGGCCCAGACUCCUACGGGAGGCAGCAGUGGGGAAUAUUGCACAAUGGGCGAAAGCCUGAUGCAGCGACGCCGCGUGAGGGAUGACGGCCUUCGGGUUGUAAACCUCUUUCAGCAGGGAAGAAGCGAAAGUGACGGUACCUGCAGAAGAAGCGCCGGCUAACUACGU
rnacentral:rRNA from 1 species